UACGAAGGGGGCUAGCGUUGCUCGGAAUUACUGGGCGUAAAGCGCACGUAGGCGGAUUGCUAAGUCAGGGGUGAAAUCCUGGAGCUCAACUCCAGAACUGCCUUUGAUACUGGCAAUCUCGAGUCCGGGAGAGGUGAGUGGAACUGCGAGUGUAGAGGUGAAAUUCGUAGAUAUUCGCAAGAACACCAGUGGCGAAGGCGGCUCACUGGCCCGGUACUGACGCUGAGGUGCGAAAGCGUGGGGAGCAAACAGG
rnacentral:rRNA from 1 species